GGGCCGUUAGCUCAGUUGGUUAGAGCAGAGGACUCAUAAUCCUUUGGUCGCUGGUUCGAGCCCAGCACGGCCUACCA
rnacentral:tRNA from 19 species